rnacentral:rRNA from 1 species
GACAGAGGGUGCAAACGUUGUUCGGAAUUACUGGGCGUAAAGCGCGUGUAGGCGGUCCGGUAAGUCCGCUGUGAAAGUCGGGGGCUCAACCCUCGAAUGCCGGUGGAUACUGUCGGGCUAGAGUGCGGAAGAGGCGAGUGGAAUUCCUGGUGUAGCGGUGAAAUGCGCAGAUAUCAGGAGGAACACCAAUUGCGAAGGCAGCUCGCUGGGACGUUACUGACGCUGAGACGCGAAAGCGUGGGGAGCAAACAGG